AUUCAUUCGCGUUUCGUAGUUGGCGUGCGACGAUCGUGUGACGGANAGCGUUCGCGCGUUCUUCGCGCCUUUGCGUCGUUCGAUCCGACGACGAACGCGUGCACUUUUCUCCUGGUAGGACGUCGCGAUCCGUUGGGUGUCGGUCUAAGGUACGCGAUGGAGCCCGUAAGUCGCGGUUCGCGCCGUUACUUGCGGACUCGCGUUUCCCGGCCGACUCGCUCGACGGUAUACGAACGGUUUAAGGCCGCUAUCGAUUAGCGUUCGACUCGUAGCAAGCGCGCCAUUUGUCGACGGCGAUCGGACCUGGUGCCGAUUCCGUCCUAUGGUGACUGUUGGUUGCGAAGUUCUCGAACAGACCUUUUCGAAACCGAUCUGCGACGCUAUAGCUUUGGGUACUUUCAGGACCCGUCUUGAAACACGGACCAAGGAGUCUAGCAUGUGCGCGAGUCAUUGGGAAUUAUUAAACCUAAAGGCGCAAUGAAAGUGAAAGUUCGUCCUUUAAACGAACCUAGGGAAGAUGGGCGGUUUACCUUUAAAAGUGGCCGCCCCGCAUUCCCGGGGCGUCUCAUUCUCAUUGCGAGAAGAGGCGCACCAAGAGCGUACACGCUGGGACCCGAAAGAUGGUGAACUAUGCCUGGUCAGGACGAAGUCAGGGGAAACCCUGAUGGAGGUCCGUAGCGAUUCUGACGUGCAAAUCGAUCGUCGGAACUGGGUAUAG
rnacentral:rRNA from 1 species